GCUGGGUGUGGUGGCGGGCACCUGUAAUCCCGGCUACACAGGAGGCUGAGGCAGGAGAAUCACUUGAACCCGGGAGGCGGAGGUUGCAGUGAGCCAAGAUCGAGCCACUGCACUCCAGCCUGGGCGACAGAGUGAGACUCUGUCUCAA
rnacentral:SRP_RNA from 1 species